GGGUCCGCACAAGCGGUGGAGCAUGCGGAUUAAUUCGAUGCAACGCGAAGAACCUUACCAAGGCUUGACAUAUAGAGGAAAAGUGCAGAAAUGCACUCCCCGCAAGGUCUCUAUACAGGUGGUGCAUGGUUGUCGUCAGCUCGUGUCGUGAGAUGUUGGGUUAAGUCCCGCAACGAGCGCAACCCUUGUCCUUAUUUUGCCAGCGAUUCGGUCGGGAACUCUAAGGAGACUGCCAGUGCAAACUGUGAGGAAGGUGGGGAUACGUCAAAUCAUCACGGCCCUUACGUCCUGGGCUACACACGUGCUACAAUGGCCGGUACAGAGAGCAGCCACUUCGCAAGAAGGAGCGAA
rnacentral:rRNA from 1 species